rnacentral:rRNA from 1 species
GACGAACGCUGGCGGCGUGCUAAUACAUGCAAGUCGAGCGGACCGACGGGAGCUUGCUCCCUUAGGUCAGCGGCGGACGGGUGAGUAACACGUGGGUAACCUGCCUGUAAGACUGGGAUAACUCCGGGAAACCGGGGCUAAUACCGGAUGCUUGAUUGAACCGCAUGGUUCAAUCAUAAAAGGUGGCUUUCAGCUACCACUUACAGAUGGACCCGCGGCGCAUUAGCUAGUUGGUGAGGUAACGGCUCACCAAGGCGACGAUGCGUAGCCGACCUGAGAGGGUGAUCGGCCACACUGGGACUGAGACACGGCCCAGACUCCUACGGGAGGCAGCAGUAGGGAAUCUUCCGCAAUGGACGAAAGUCUGACGGAGCAACGCCGCGUGAGUGAUGAAGGUUUUCGGAUCGUAAAACUCUGUUGUUAGGGAAGAACAAGUACCGUUCGAAUAGGGCGGCACCUUGACGGUACCUAACCAGAAAGCCACGGCUAACUACGUGCCAGCAGCCGCGGUAAUACGUAGGUGGCAAGCGUUGUCCGGAAUUAUUGGGCGUAAAGCGCGCGCAGGCGGUCUCUUAAGUCUGAUGUGAAAGCCCCCGGCUCAACCGGGGAGGGUCAUUGGAAACUGGGGAACUUGAGUGCAGAAGAGGAGAGUGGAAUUCCACGUGUAGCGGUGAAAUGCGUAGAGAUGUGGAGGAACACCAGUGGCGAAGGCGACUCUCUGGUCUGUAACUGACGCU